rnacentral:lncRNA from 10 species
GCGCCUGCUGGGCUCUGUGCGCCCGGGAAGGUGCGGCCACCCUCACGCGGAAGGCGGCCAGCGGAUCCCGGUGCGCGCAGCUCCCAGCGCUGGGGUUCCAGCGCCCCGCCUCUUCCUAUAGCAACCAGCGGGACCUGCCGUCCCCCGGGGCACCCCGAGGGGUCUGCGCCCGCUUCUUUCCGAAACGGGAAGGCGCUGGGGGCUCGGCAGCCAGAGGGACGGGUUCAGGGAGCGUCCGGUGUGCGCGGCGCUCGCAAGUGGUCAGCAUAACGCCGGGCGAAUUCGGAAAGCCCGUGCGUCCGUGGACGACCCACUUGGAAGGAGUUGGGAGAAGUCCUUGUUCCCACGCGCGGACGCUUCCCUCCGUGUGUCCUUCGAGCCACAAAAAGCCCAGACCCUAACCCGCUCCUUUCUCCCGCCGCGUCCAUGCAGAACUCCGCCGUUCCUGGGAGGGGAAGCCCGCGAGGCGUCGGGAGAGGCACGUCCUCCGUGAGCAAAGAGCUCCUCCGAGCGCGCGGCGGGGACGCUGGGCCGACAGGGGACCGCGGGGGCAGGGCGGAGAGGACCCGCCCUCGAGUCGGCCCAGCCCUAACACUCAGGACCGCCUCCAGCCGGAGGUCUGCGCCCUUCUGAGGACCCUGCCUGGGGGAGCUUAUUGCGGUUCUUUUGCAAAUACCCGCUGCGCUUGGACGGAGGAAGCGCCCACGCGUCGACCCCGGAAACGAAGGCCUCCCUGAUGGGAACGCAUGCGUCCAGGAGCCUUUAUUUACUCUUAAUUCUGCCCGAUGCUUGUACGUGUGUGAAAUGCUUCAGAUGCUUUUGGGAGCGAGGUGUUACAUAAAUCAUGGAAAUGCCUCCUGGUCUCACCACACCCAGGGUGACAGCUGAGAUGCGGCUUCUCCAGGGUGGAGCCUCCUCGUUUUCCAGAGCUGCUUGUUGAAGUCUUCCCAGGGCCCCUGACUUGCACUGGAAACUGCUCACCUUGGCAUCGGGAUGUGGAGCAAGAAAUGCUUUUGUUUUCAUUCAUCCUAGUGUUCAUAAAAUGGAAAACAAAUAAGGACAUACAAAAACAUUAAUAAAAUAAAUUAAUGGAACUAGAUUUUUCAGAAAGCACAACAAACACAAAAUCCAAGUAUUGCCAUGUCAGCAACACAUUCCUACUUUAAGUUUUAUGAAGUUAAUUGGAGUAGUGGAGAACAAAAGUGGAUGUGGGGCAGAUCUGCGUCCUGCAUGUGUCUUGCAGCCAGACUGUUCCAGCUGUUGCAGACCUCAAAAUAGAGAGGACCCAGGUUUUCUGAUUUUGCCUUCUUUUUUUUUUUUUUAAAUUUAUUAUUGUUAUACUUUAAGUUUUAGGGUACAUGUGCAUGAUGUGCAGGUUAGUUUCAUAUGUAUACAUGUGCCAUGCUGGUGUGCUGCACCCACUAACUCGUCAUCUAGCAUUAGGUAUAUCUCCCAGUGCUAUCCCUCCCCCCUCCCCCCACCCCACAACAGUCCCCAGAGUGUGAUGUUCCCCUUCCUGUGCCCAUGUGUUCUCAUCGUUCAAUUCCCACCUAUGAGUGAGAAUAUGCGGUGUUUGGUUUUUUGUUCUUGCGAUAGUUUACUGAGAAUGAUGAUUUCCAAUUUCAUCCAUGUCCCUACAAAGGACAUGAACUCAUCCUUUUUUAUGGCUGCAUAGUAUUCCAUGGUGUAUAUGUGCCACAUUUUCUUAAUCCAGUCUAUCAUUAUUGGACAUUUGGGUUGGUUCCAAGUCUUUGCUAUUGUGAAUAGUGCCGCAAUAAACAUACGUGUGCAU